rnacentral:rRNA from 1 species
UGGGGAAUAUUGGACAAUGGGCGCAAGCCUGAUCCAGCCAUGCCGCGUGAGUGAUGAAGGCCUUAGGGUUGUAAAGCUCUUUUAGCAGGGACGAUAAUGACGGUACCUGCAGAAAAAGCCCCGGCCAACUUCGUGCCAGCAGCCGCGGUAAUACGAAGGGGGCUAGCGUUGCUCGGAAUCACUGGGCGUAAAGCGCACGUAGGUGGGUCGUUAAGUCGGGGGUGAAAUCCCAGAGCUCAACUCUGGAACUGCCUUCGAUACUGGCGACCUUCGAGUUCGGGAGAGGUGAGUGGAACUGCGAGUGUAGAGGUGAAAUUCGUAGAUAUUCGCAAGAACACCAGUGGCGAAGGCGGCUCACUGGCCCGAUACUGACACUGAGGUGCGAAAGCGUGGGGAGCAA